AUUGAACGCUGGCGGCAGGCCUAACACAUGCAAGUCGAACGAGUGGCGGACGGGUGAGUAAUGUCUGGGAAACUGCCCGAUGGAGGGGGAUAACUACUGGAAACGGUAGCUAAUACCGCAUACCAUCGGAUGUGCCCAGAUGGGAUUAGCUUGUAGGUGAGGUAACGGCUCACCUAGGCGACGAUCCCUAGCUGGUCUGAGAGGAUGACCAGCCAGACGGGUACUGAUCCACGGUCCAGACUCCUACGGGAGGCAGCAGUGGGGAAUAUUGCACAAUGGGCGCCAGCAUGCUGUAGCCAUGCCGCGUGUAUGAAGAAGGCCUUCGGCUUGUAAAGUACUUUCAGCGGGGAGGCUUUACCCGCAGAAGAAUCACCGGCUAACGCCGUGCCAGCAGCCUCGGUAAUUC
rnacentral:rRNA from 1 species